CUGCCCCGGCGAGGGGCCGAGCCGGCGGGACGGGCAGGAGCGGGCCCGAGCGCGGCUCCUUCUCGGCUCCUGUGUGGCUCCCGCCGGGCCCCGUCCGGCCCCGGCGCGGCAGGGCAUCGAUGGCUGCCGGGCUCGGGCCGUGGCUCCUGUCCAUGGCAUUGGCCUUGGGGCCGGCAGGGGUGUGGGCGCAGCUGAGGCUGGUGGAGGCCGGCGGAGGGCUGCGAGCUCCCGGGGACUCCGUGCGCCUCUCCUGCCGCGGAUCCGGCUUUGACUUCAAGGAUUACUACGUUUAUUGGUACCGUGAGGCCCCCGGUGGUGGUCUCGAGUGGGUGUCCUACAUCAGUGCACUCUCGGGUACUAUGAAGAAGUACGGGCCAACAGUGGAAGGUCGAGCCACAGUGUCCCGUGACAAUUCCCGGUCGGAGUCCUCUCUGUCCCUGAGUGCCCUGCAGCCCCAGGACUCUGCCCGCUACUUCUGUGCCAUUGACACAGAGACAGGAAAUCCAGCUGAGCUUUAACAGAAACCUGCUGGGGCCCAGCCCAGGUGCAAGAGCAAUGGGCCAGGGGAGUGCUGUGAUGUGUGUGAGGUCACCUGUGGCUGUUUCCAGCAGUGAGGGCUU